GGGGAUGACGUCAAAUCAUCAUGCCCCUUAUGACCUGGGCUACACACGUGCUACAAUGGACAGAACAAAGGGCUGCGAGACCGCAAGGUUUAGCCAAUCCCACAAAUCUGUUCUCAGUUCGGAUCGCAGUCUGCAACUCGACUGCGUGAAGCUGGAAUCGCUAGUAAUCGCGGAUCAGCAUGCCGCGGUGAAUACGUUCCCGGGCCUUGUACACACCGCCCGUCACACCACGAGAGUUUGCAACACCCGAAGUCGGUGAGGUAACCUUUAUGGAGCCAGCCGCCGAAGGUGGGGCAGAUGAUUGGGGUGAAGUCGUAACAAGGUAGCCGUAUCGGAAGGUGCGGCUGGAUCACCUCCUUUCUAAGGA
rnacentral:rRNA from 1 species